UCAACCGCAGCCAUCUUCUCUUCUUCACUAUCAUCAAAGCGUGUGCCUUUAAUUAAAUCACCAUCAUCACUACUAACAUCUCCACCAUCGAUGUCUACUUCACCAACAUCGCCUUCAAUUUCAUCCGCCACUACACCCUUUCCCUUUUGUUCCCCAAUAACAUCAGCAACAAUUAUAGCAUUUCCUAAAUUCACCUUAGGUUCAACAUACAAUUCAACAUCGCACUUGUUAUCACGAGCAUAAUCAGACAUUGCAGUUGCAUCAGUAUCAUUCCUGAAUGGCUUGAGGUCUUCAUCCAAUGAACCACUCUCAUGUUUCCACCAUAGCUUUACUAACUAUUCAUCAAAAGUAUCAUCCAUUUCCUUCAUGAUGUCACGAGCCUCGAAGAAUGACCAGAAAUCCGAAUCUUGCCCUUUGUAUGCAUACACAUCCCCGCCUUCAUACCAUAGAUUUGGGUCUUUGACAAAAAAAACCCUUUGUAAAGAAUAGAACUUUGAAUAAAACCAUAUGUGAUAAGGGAAAAAGGUCCUGUUAAUAUACACAUAAAUAAAUACCAAAUAAAUACAUACACAAAUACCAUAUACAUAACUGAUAUGGUACAAAUAACAUAUACCUUCCUAAAAAGAAAUACCAUAUACCAUACACAACUGAUACGGAACAUAUACACUCAAUAAAUAUCAUGUACUCAAAUACCAUUUACAAACACAAACACCCAAACAUACAUAUUG
rnacentral:lncRNA from 1 species